AGCAGCAGCAGCAUCUUUUGAGCAGUAUAUAUACACAGGUUUUGUCCUCAGCUAGAAACUCUGGUGCACAGUCUGCUAGCAAUUAAUUGACAAAUGUACAAGGCAACCUACUGUUCCUUCUUGGCUGCUUCAGGCACUGUUUUUUUCUCCCCUCUGAUCCCUCUCUCUUUUCUUUUGCAGUGUUCAUUCAGUACAAAUAUAUUUGAAUAAACUCGCAGCUCCUGUUGCUUUGACAUUUCAAUUCCUAC
rnacentral:lncRNA from 1 species